rnacentral:rRNA from 1 species
CAGCCGCCGCGGUAAUACCGGCGGCCCGAGUGGCGGUCACUAUUAUUGGGCUUAAAGCGUCCGUAGCCGGGUUGGGAAGUCCUCCGGGAAAUCUGGCCGCUUAACGGUCAGAAUGCCGGAGGAUACUCCCAGCCUAGGGAGCGGGAGAGGCCGAGGGGAUUCCCGGAGUAGGGGUGAAAUCCUAUAAUCCCGGGAGGACCACCUGUGGCGAAGGCGCUCGGCUGGAACGCGUCCGACGGUGAGGGACGAAGGCCAGGGGAGCAAACCGGAUUAGAUACCCGGGUAGUCCUGGCGGUAAACGAUGCGGACUUUGUGUCGGACAAGCUAUGAGCUUGUCCGGUGCCGGAGGGAAACCGUUAAGUCCGCCGCCUGGGGAGUACGGCCGCAAGGCUGAAACUUAAAGAAAUUGGCGGG